rnacentral:lncRNA from 1 species
AAGAAAAGAAAGUUUGAAAAAUAUUAUGAAGUUAUAGAAUGUACAAACCAUAUUAGAUAAAUAUAAAAAGAAAUAUUAAUUAUAAAUCCUAAGUAGAAAUUCAUAAUACAUUUAAAAUUAUAAUUAAAAUAAUUAUGUAUGGUACGUUUAGAUAAUAUUAGUUUAAAAUAAUAGUAUAUUAUAUUUUAAAUAAUUCUAAUGAUAAAUUUAAAACAAUAUUAAAACUUAAAUAUUCAAAUAAUGCUAGGUUUACAACUAAAUAUAUACUAAAGACAACAAAAUCAAAAUAAAAUUUUAGAAAAUGAAUAAAUUAAAUCAUGGAUUAAAUCAGAUUCAAAACCAAAAUCAUAAGGAAAAUCAGAAAAUAAAAUAAAAUUAAAGAACCAAAAUGGCAUGUGCGUAUUUCAUAGGGGACCAAAACGACAAUUACGCAAAAAUAAAUAAUCAAAACCAAACACAGAAAACGGCACCGUUUAAAUAUGGAUCAAAAUGGAAUCGAAACCAAAUGUGUGGUACAAAUUAAAAAAUAAACAGAAUCAUAUUGAAACAACACAAAAGAAAGGGGGACUUGUUGUUCAAAUAGACCGAAAAACCCAUGUGCGCAGAUCUUGCCCUCGGGUUGGGUCACCGCGUGGGUCUCAGCACUGAACGACGCCGUUUUUCAACGCGCCUUAACGCCCUAUUAACCUAACCAGCAGCCUCCCCUUUUAUUUUCAAAAAAAAAAAGUUAAAAAGAUAAAAAAAAAAAGAAAAAAAGAAGAACCCUAGGCUUUUCAUGCGCCGCUCGACGGUUCAUCGCCUCCUUCGGAGACUCUCAGAACCUUGCCCCCAAACUCCGAUGACGACAGAGAAAGAGCAAAGGAUCCAGUCGCGAUGUACGCAUUUUUCUUUUCGUUUUCUAUUUCCUCUUUAAUAAACUUUUCAUGAACGCGAAGAUAAAAAAAAAGAAGUAAAUAACAAUAGCAGAAAAAUAUAAAAGAAGAACCAGAAACCCAGAAAAUCACCUUUUGUUUUUCAAUUUUUGUAUUCUCGAUUUUUUUUGUAUAUUGAAUGUGUGUUUUUUUUGAAAAAAGGGCACAUCCCUGGGGUUUUAUAACCCGAAAAUAAAAUAAAAAAGAAUACAAAUUUAUAUUUCCUUUUAUUUUUCUUAUUUUGUUUUUCUUUUUUUCUGCCGAUUUCUGCCUCUCUUUUCGUUCGUUGUCUGUUUUCUGCUGCGCGUUUGCUUGUCUCUUGCAGGUACGGUGUGCAGAGGUGCGGACGUGGCACGUACGAAGGCGAAGGCACGUGCGUACGAGGGCUCGUCACGUGCGGAGAGAGAGCGAGGGGACGUCACUGCUGCGGCGCUGAGAACCCUUGUUGCUAGGGUUUUCGAUGUUUGGGGAAAACCUUGGGCUGAGUUGGGUUCUGGGCUAGGCUAGAGUUUGGGUUUGGGUUUGUACUGGGCCAUUUAUAAAUGGGCUUGGCUUGUAUUUUGGCUCUUGAUAUAUUUUUGGGGUUAGAGUCUGUAUUUUUUUGGUAAAUUGAUCUGGGCCAAUUGUAAAUGGACUGUUUUUUUUGGACUGAAUUUGAUUUUUUAUUAUUAUUAUUUUUUUUGGUUUUUCUGCUUAUUCUGAAUGGCCCCGGGCAAAUUGGGCCUAUUACAAUGAUGAUGACAAAGAGAUCUCGAUAAGUUAUGUUACUUCGGGGAAAAGAUAGAACCGGAAAAAUAUAGUUAUCGACAACAAUUUUGCAUAUAAUGUUGCUAUUCAAGUAGAAAAAGAAAAUGAUGAUCCUGAGCCUAAAUCUAUUGAUGAAUGUAGAAAUAGAAAAGAUUGGGCAAAAUGGAAAUAUGCAAUUCAAGCAUAAUUGAAUUCACUUUCUAAAUGUGAGGUUUUUGGACCUAUAGUCCAAACACCUAAAGGUGUAAAGCCAGUAGGAUAUAAAUGGGUAUUUGUGCAAAAAUGAAAUGAAAAAAAAUAAAGUCGUAAUAUAUAAAGCAGGACUUGUAGCACAAGAAUUUUCACAAAGGCCCAACAUUGAUUAUGAAGAGACAUAUUCUCCUGUGGUGGAUGCAAUCACGUUUAGAUAUCUUAUUAGUCUGGAAGUACAUAAAAAACUUGACAUGCAUCUAAUGGAUGUUGUUACAACCUAUUUGUAUGACACACUUGAUAGUGAAAUUUAUAUGAAAAUCCCUAAAGGAUUUAAAAUCCCUGAAGGAUAUAGAGUUUCUCGGGAAAAUUAUUCAAUCAGAUUAAAGAAAAGUUUAUAUGGAUUAAAACAAUCUAGACGUAUGAGGUACAAUCGUCUUAGUGAAUACUUGUUAAAAGAAGGUUACAAAAACGAUCCAAUUUGUCCAUGUGUCUUUAUAAAAAGGUUUGGAUCAAAUUUUGUGAUAAUUGUUGUUUAUGUUGAUGAUCUAAAUAUUAUUGGAGCUCCUGAAGAGCUCCAAAAUACAAUAAAUUGUUUAAAGAAAGAAUUUGAAAUGAAAGAUCUUGGAAAAAUAAAUUUUUGUCUUGGCUUACAAAUCGAACAUUUAAAAGAUAGAAUUCAUGUUCAUCAAUCACCUUAUACGGAAAAGAUAUUAAAGAAAUUUUACAUGGAUAAAGCACACCCAUUAAGUAGUCCGAUGAUUGUACGAUCGUUAGAUGUGAAUAAAGAUCAAUUUCGUCCUUGCGAGGAUAGUGAAGAGUUUCUUGGUCCUGAAGUACCAUAUUUAAGUGCCAUAGGGGCAUUGAUGUAUCUUACAAACAACACAAGGCCUGAUAUAGCUUUUGUUGUAAACUUGUUAGCAAGAUUCAGUUCUUCUCCAACACGUAAACAUUGGAAUAGAAUUAAACAUGUAUUUAGAUAUCUCAGAAGGACUAUUGAUAUGGGGUUAUUUUAUUCAAAUGAUUUAAAAUCCCUAUUAGUCGGCUAUGCUGAUGCUGGAUACUUAUUGGAUCCACAUAAAGGUCGAUCUCAAACAUGAUAUUUAUCUACAUGUGAGGAUACUUCCAUAUCAUGGCGUUUAACAAAGCAAACAUUAGCUGCUGCUUCUUCAAAUCAUGCAGAUAUAAUUGCAAUGCAUAAGGCAAGUUGAGAGUGUGUUUGUCUAAGGUUUUUGACCCAACAUAUCCAGAAGGUAUGUAAUUUGCCUUUACAAGAAAAGAUGUCAACUAUUUUAUACGAAGAUAAUGCCGCAUGUUUAGCUCAAUUGAAGGGUGGCUAUAUCAAAGGUGAUAGUACGAAACAUAUUUCACCAAAAUUAUUCUUCACCCAUGAUCUUGAGAAAAUAGGUGAUAUAAAUGUUCAACAAAUUCGUUCUAGUGAGAAUUUAGCAGAUCUUUUUACUAAGGCAUUACCAACUUCAAUAUUUGAAAGACUACUACACAGGAUUGGAAUGCGUCGACUCAAAGAUGUAAUGUAAUGUUGCAAUCAGGGGGAGUUUAAAAACAAGUUGUACUCUUUUCCUUUAAUCAAGGUUUCGCCCCAUUGGGUUUUCCUGGUAAAGGUUUUUAACGAGGCAGCUUGUAAUAGAAGUUUGUGUACUCUUUUUUCUUCAUUAGGUUUUUUUAUCCCACAGGGUUUUUCCUAAUAAGGUUUUAACGAGGCACACUAUCUACCAAUGGACAUCCAAGGGGGAGUGUUAUGAAUAUCUUUAAGUGGAUGUCCAUCAUGAUAAAGAUAAAGUUUUAAUAUACUUUAAAUUCUAAUAGUUAUUAGAAUUAGAUCUCUAUUUCUUUUAUAGUUAUUAUCCCUAUAAAUAGAGACUCUGAUGAAGCAUUGUAUUCAUUCCUUUUAAUCAAUAAAGUUCAUUCUCUGUUACUUUCAUAUUUUCUUUAUUCUUUAUUCUCUCUAUCUUUCUUUAUUUCAUAACAAAAAUAAUUUAAUUUCAAUUUUUUGUCAUAAAGAAAGAAAGUAUAUGACAGCUAAGGCUUUUUUAAAUUAUAUUUUUAGUUUUUCAUUACUUUUAAGUUGUAUAUUAUUUUUUGUUUCAAUCGAGUAAAGCAUUUAGAGCACGCUGCCCAUAACUUGUUUUGUGAAAUUAUCAAUAGUGAUUGUAAAUAUAAUAUAUAUUUUCAAGAUUAAUGAGUUGAAAUUCAAAUAUAAAAAUAAAGGGUGAUAUUAUUUUAAUAUUUUUAUAAGAAAAUAUCAUUAAUAAAUAAACGAGUCAAUAAACGAGUUUAUUCGUGAAUAUAAACGAGCCGAACACUCAUCUGUUCAUGUUCAUUCGUAUUAAACGAAUAUAAAAAUUUUGUUCAUACUCGUUUAUUUAGCAUAAUAAACAAACAUAAGCGAAUGCUAUACGAACGGUUCACGAACUGUUCAUCGAACGUUCUGUUCAUUUACACCUUAAUUAGUGGUAAGAUGAGAUUUUCUUUUUUGUGUUUUUGAAGAAAAAAGUAUAGGGUUAAGAUGGAUGAGUAAGCAGAAAAUGCUAAAGGGUGAUUUUUGGUGUAAAUUGCUUGAAAAUAGAGUGUUACACAAUAUGUUGUAACAUUAUGGGUAAUUCAAGUUUUUUUAUUAUUGAUAAUUUUGACUUGUAACCUUUGGAGUUUUAUCUUUCACUGGUUGCAAGCUUAAAUAAUUUAAUUGUAAAAAUGAAAAUUAGAUGAAGUGAAUCUAGUUUUUAUGGGAUUGAGAUUGACUAAAGUGAUGAAGGGAUUAACUUUUUCUAUUUUGAUCAUUUUUAUAUAUUAUCUUUAUUCCUACAAUUAAAAAGUGUUGGUAAUGCAAAGUGGAUUAUCAAUACUAUACUGGUUGAGAAAAAGGUUAUUAAGAGGGUUUAAAUAUAGUCUCGCUUUUUAUUUUAUUGAAUAAUUGAGGCUAAAGACUCAACAUAUGUAUCGUGCAUGUGCUUCUUUUUAGAUAAAAGUAUUUUUUUUAAAACAAUAUAAGUUAUUUUCAAAAAAAAUUCCCUUGUCUGAUCAGUUUCCGUUGCAUAUUUUUCGGAAACUUACAUUGUAAAUUUACCAUUUUCCCCCUUCAGAAAAUCCUAUAUAUAACAAGUCAUUAUACUCAUUUGGAAGCAAGCAAAACAA